rnacentral:rRNA from 1 species
UACGGGGGGGGCAAGCGUUGUUCGGAAUUACUGGGCGUAAAGGGCUCGUAGGUGGCCAACUAAGUCAGACGUGAAAUCCCUCAGCUUAACUGGGGAACUGCGUCUGAUACUGGAUGGCUUGAGUUUGGGAGAGGGAUGCGGAAUUCCAGGUGUAGCGGUGAAAUGCGUAGAUAUCUGGAGGAACACCGGUGGCGAAGGCGGCAGCCUGGACCAACACUGACACUGAUGAGCGAAAGCCAGGGGAGCAAACGGG